CCUGGAAAGGGAGACUUCCAGAGGUGGGCGGACUGCGACUGCUCCUUGGAGCAAUACACCUGACUGUCCCAGCCGUUGGAGAGAGCCCAGUGCUGGUAGCCUUCGACGGGGAUGAGCGCGUCGUGACGCGGCUCUGGGUGCCCGCUGAUCCCAGGCACCACCGACACGUCCAGGUAGCCGGGCAUCGCCUGGUAGGAGCUGGCGAAGCUGGGGUAGAAGGCGAACUCCUUGGCCCUGGAGGACAGGUCGUCACCCGGCAGGGCGCCCGAUGGCUCCGGGUAUUUAUCACCCGGGUGGUAGGCGCAAGGCUUUUGCUGCAGGUUCACGUUGUGCGACAGGCGGCAGCCGUAGUAGCUGCCACCGAACGGGUAGCCGUAGCCCAGGGUGGCGCUGGACGAGGUGGGGGGCGCCGGCGGCGGGGCGCACUGGCGCGCAGCCUCUGGGGCCGGGAUGUCCGUGUAGACGGCGCCCUGUGGGGCGCCCAGGGGAGCCGGCGGGCGGCCCAGCACGGGGUGCGGAAGCAGGUCGCGGCAGUGGCUGGCCGGGCAGCUGCUGCCCAGCCCGUCCAUGCUGGGGGCUUUGCCGGGGCUCGCUCCGCUGCAGCCGCCCCCCGCGCCGCCCGCGCCGCCGCCUCCCCCGCCGCCUCCUCCGCUGCCGCUCUCCGCCGCGCUGUCCUCAUAGACGUACAUAAGGCUCUCCGGCCAGCGCGGGUGCAGGAGCAGCGAAGUCGUCAUGACAUGAUCUGCUCGAGCUUUUUAAAAACUCCACUUGCCAGAGGCUGCGAGCUAGGGAGACACCUCGCUCUCUUUUCCCCUCCCCCAUCCCUCCUCCCUUCCCUCCCUUCCCCUCCCCUCCUCCUCCGGGUGCUUCCACCUCCCUCCCCACAGUCCCUCUACGCAUGCGGGGACACUUCAUUAAGAAAUCCGCCGUCUCCCGCCCGACUCCCCUCUGCACCCCUCCCGCGCCCGUGUGACGCGACCGGUGCACGUGACGCCGGAGCCAGGUCUCCUGGGGUUCCCACCCCUGGCGGUGGGCGGGGCAAAGGGAAACUGGUCUCUUCUGAUUGGCUCUCAGGAGGGGCAAAGAGGAGGGAGCUGGGAGAUUUAAAGGGACAGGGCAACGCCCCCCUGGCAGGCCCGAGGGAGGGAGAGGGAGGAGGGGGAGGCUGAAUUUGGCCGACGCAAAGGGGUCUGGAGACGCUAGGACUGUUCCUGGGCGCCUCCCUCUAGGUUUAGGUUUAGAUCGUCUGUGGGGAAGACCGACCCCCACCCCAAAAAACGAUCCCUGGGACUGGAUUGGGGUUGGGGCUAAGGAUAGGGGAGAAACUGAUUUUUUUCCUCUCUUAAUAAAUAAACUAGACAGGCGGAAGCGCGCGGGCAAGGCGUGGGGAGCCCUGGUUCUGGCCCUGGCAUAAUCCCCUGGAGCUCACGGAUGGAAAGAACCUGACACCGCGCACCGAGACUUUGGUGUCGGGAUUGUAUUUCCACUUCCGACUUUCAGCCACUUUCCCCAAAGCCCGGGUUGUCUGAGAGGGACCCUUUCGGCUCCUUGACCGCAGGGCAGAGAGGGCUGGGAGGAUGUGAUAGCCCCAACCCACGACACAGACACACACACACACCACUACAUGGAGGGGGUGGAGGGAUGCUCUCAGGGAAAAUGGAGAAAGAAUGAAGGGAGGAAAAUGAGGGCAAUAGAAUAGACUGAUAUUUCAAUGUACAAUAGAAAUAAAAAGCCUCAGAGAGAUUUUCAAAGAAAAGGGCAGGGGCGUGGGGGGUAGGGAGUGGGGGAAAGAUACGGUCUAGAAAAGCUAAAAAGCCCGUGAUGAGAACAAGAGCAAGCACUCUCAGAUCGGUGUACAAAAGGAAACGUGGAAAGCGAGACAGGCGGCGGAGCUGCCCCUUUGGAGGGAUCCUUCUCAGGCACAACUCAGUAAGACCCCAGAAGGACCGACCUAAGCCCCGGGGCCCCGUCUCCGCCCUCCAUGGCCUGGGCUGAUCGGCCUAAGAAGGCCGAGGGGCAGAGCCAGGAUCAACACAGUUCUCAGCUGGACAACGCCAAGUUUAGCUCCCGCCGCUUUCUUGGGGUCGCUCCUUUUUAGUGUGGAGUGUCUUCAUGUUUAAAAAUUGCCCCCUAUUUCAAAGAAAAAAUUAGUACCAACUUCCUGGGUUCCCCCCCCCCAAAAGCUCCCCUCCUCCUUCCCAGUCUCCAGACUUGGGUUUCCUAUGCCUAAUUUAGCUCAUCAGUAGAGUCACCCCUUUCCAGAGCGCAUCUCCGUGGAAUUGAGCCAAGUUCCCUUUCAGCACAGGGCCUCCCUGAGGAGAAGAGGUAAUAAAGAGAGAGAGGAAAAGAGGGGAGAGGGGCUGCAGCAUCUCCCUCUUCCCUGCCACUGCCACAGAUUUUAAAUGCUGGGUGCUCCUGUCCAGACAGCACACAAGUGGGGGCCGCGCGGUAGCCCCAGGCUAGUCCGGACCUACUGGAUCCCUCAAACCUGAGAGCAGAUGCCAGGUUUGUACUGAGAUCUGGCCCACUGGCCGCCUCCUUUCUCCCUGUAAGGGGAAGGUGGUAUUUGACGAUGGAGAGCGCCCUGGGGUCGGUGAGUUAGGAUGAGAACCGAGUAAUCUUUACCAGUGUGAUCUUCCUCCGGCAGGGUCACCUCAGUGACUGAAAAACAGGCUUUGGGCCGGGCUGGCAGGAGGAGGAAAAGACAGGAGAGAGGCUUGAAAUGUAAGCUGCCUUCUUCGCUUGAAAGUGUGUUGAGGGCAAGGAUGGUGGAGAGAGAAGAGGGGAGCCAGGGGAAGGUGGGGUCUCGCUGAGAGCCGGCUUUAGGCUAGGAAUCUGGCUCCCCUGCCUCAGGGUCCAAGGUCAAGGUAAAACAAGGAGAGCAAACAGGGUCUGGCCAGUCUAGACUGGGUCGUGUGACCUUGGCCCCCGUCGGCCUGCUGCCUUGCUGCUGUGGGUGGGUGGUGAGGAGGCCUGCCGGCUGGCAGCCGCAGGUGUAGAGGUAGUGCGGAGACCCAGGCUUCUCCUCCUGUGAAGUGCUGGGUCCCGUGGAGAACCCGGAGCUACGUGGACCGGGCUCUGCGGGGCCGCCAGGAGAAACAAAGAGCCUGAGCCGCCCACCCCAUUCCUGGGGCUCCCUCCCCAGUCCAGGACUGCUCUAGCUCAAUGCCAGCCGCCUCUUCCGCGGACCCGGACCCAAAGACACGCUUCCCCCAGCCUUUGGGAGUAGGGGGCAGAACGGCGGGAAGGAUCUGGGUGCAGGGCGGCCCAGCAAUAAAUAAAAUUAAUAGUAUGUUCUUUUCCAGGUUUAUGUAAGGACAUUAACUGUUCCUAUUGCAGUGAGAUAUAGAUUUAAUUAACCCGGCAAUUUUACAAUUCCAUUUAUUAGGGGCACGAUGCGGCCAAAUUUUAGCGACGAGAGGAGAGGGAACCAAAGUCUCCUUCAUCAAGAAGACCAGCCAAAGAAGAUGUAGGCCCCCCAAGAGAUCUGGGGGUGUGGGAAGGCUGGAGGAAGAGAAAGUCUAGGGCUACGGGGGUUAAAAGCGUCCAGGGAAGUGUCCGCAUACUCUGAACCAUUCCCGGCUCUUCCGCUGGGUUCCCCAAGACAUUUCGCGCCUGAAACUGGUUCCACGACAGGGGCGCGCCGGGAGCGGGGAGGGAGGCGGCUGUGCAGGCGCCUUCGGGCGGGCGGUGAAAAGUAAAGCCUGGUUGGUUAAUUAACUUUAAGCCUGGGGUCGCUUCUCCCUCCUCCCCCGAAAAAAAAAAAAUGUGGAUCUCGCUGAGACACAAAUAAAACCAAAUUAAACACUCCAGGAGAAUGUGCACCACUGGAAACGUAGUAAUUACAUCUCCGAGGCGAUCCCGCCCUAGAAAGCCGGGCGCUGAAACCCUCGGCCCGGCGCUCGCCAACCGCCCCCCCCCCCAACCGCACCGCCACACCUCGCCCGCCGGGCCGCGUGAAUGGGGCGAUGGAGCUGGACUGUGGAGGAAGUUUAGAGGAAAUCAAGAGAAAGGAAAAGAAAUGUGACUCCUCCGUCUCUCGCCGAGCUGCCGGUGUGGGAGUAAAGAUGGAGCGUUUCAUUAAAUCAAAGGAAAAUGGAAAAUAGCCCCUCGGCCCCCGUCGGGAAGACCGGGCUCCGCUCUGGGGCUCCGCUCUGGGGCCCCUUUCUCAAAGGGACUUUU
rnacentral:lncRNA from 1 species